rnacentral:rRNA from 1 species
GCCCGAGGGGCGCUGCAAGACCUUCGACGACGCGGCCGACGGCUUCGUGCCGGGCGAGGGCGUGGGCGCGCUCGUGCUGAAGCGGCUCGCCGACGCCGAGCGCGAUCGCGAUCCGAUCCUCGGCGUGAUCGUCGGCUCGGGCCUGAACCAGGACGGCCGCACGAACGGCAUCACCGCGCCGAGCGGCAGCAGCCAGACCGAGUUGCUGCGCGAUGUCUACCGCCGGCACCGGAUCGAUCCGGCCGGCAUCGGUUACGUCGAGGCGCACGGCACCGGCACGAAGCUCGGCGAUCCGAUCGAGUUGACCGCGCUGUCCGCGGCGUUCGGCGAUUACACCGACCGGCGCGGGUUCUGCGCGCUCGGCUCGGUGAAGACCAACAUCGGGCAUACGUCGGCGGCGGCCGGCGUCGCGAGCAUCCACAAAGUGCUGCUGUGCCUCGCGCAUCGCGAGCUGGUGCCGACGCUGAACUACGCGAACCCGAACCGCCAUUUCGAUUUCGCCGAUUCGCCGUUCUACGUGAACACCGACCGGCGCGCGUGGGACGCCGCCGGCGACGCGCCGCGCCGCGCGGCCGUCAGCUCGUUCGGCUUCAGCGGCACCAACGCGCACGUCGUGAUCGAGGAGUACCGCCCGGCCGCCGCCGCCGCGCCGGACGCGUCGCCGCCGCGCGUGAUCGUGCCGCUCUCGGCGCGGCAUCCGGAGCGGUUGCGCGCCUACGCGCGCAACCUGGCCGACUGGCUCGCGCAGGCGGCCGCGCGCGGCGCGCCGGAGCGGCUCGCCGCGCAUCUCGCGUACACGAUGCAGGUCGGCCGCGACGCGAUGGCCGAACGCGUCGCGUUCGUCGCCGACGGCCGCGACGAACUCGAGCGGCAGUUGCGCCGCUACGCCGACACCGGCGAGACGAGCAACGGCGUGUACGCGGGCCGCGCCGAGCCGCACGCUCAGGCGUCGAACGCGCUGAUGCUCGACGAGGCGUUCGGCGCGGCGAUCGACGGAUGGAUGCGCACGGGCAAGCACGAGCCGCUCGCGAAGCUGUGGGCGGGCGGCUUCGAUCUGGACUGGGCGCGGCUUUACGACGGCGUGCCGGCCGCCGCGAUGCCGCGCCGGAUCGCCGCGCCGACUUAUCCGUUCGCAUCGGGGCGCUACUGGAUCGAUGUCGAACCCGACGGGCGCGCCGCGGGCCCGGAUGCGGACGCCGCUUCGCCCGAGGCCGAUUCCGGCUCCGACUCCGAGCACGCACACGAACAUGAACAUGAACCCGCCGCGACGCUUGCAUACCUGCCCGUCUGGGAGGAACUGCCGCCCGCGCAGCCGCGCGCCGCGCCCGAUGCGCAGGCGGGCGGCGUACUCGUCGUGCAUCGCGGCGGCGCGUGGGGGCUCGUCGACGCGAUCGAGCGCGAGUGCGUGGACGGCCGCCAUGCCGGCGCGACCUGCAUGACGCUCGAUCUGUCCGGGCAUGCGCCGUCGCCGGAGGGCCGCGCGUGGCGCAACGCCGCGCCCGACGCGGCGCGGCUCGCCGCGUGGCUCGGCGAAUUCGGCCCGGUGCGCGCGGUAUUCUUCGCGGCGGGCUGCAGCGAGGCCCGCCACGAUGCGUCGGGCGCGCACGGCUGGGCGAGCGCGCCCGAUGCGCACGGCGAGGACGAGCGCGCGCUGUUGCAGCUCGCGCAGGCGCUGAUGCGCUCGCAGGCGGCCGACGCGUCGAUCGAGUUCGUCGUGCUGUCGCUCGAUCACCAUCGCACCGACGGCACGCCGUCGAAUCCGGCGGGCGGCGGCGUCGCCGGCAUUGCCUACGCGAUCGCGCAGGGCGAUCACCGCUUCCGGGUGACGAACGUCGACGUGUCGCUCGACGAGCUGCGCGCGGCGCGGCAUGCGCCGGCGCCGCAUCCGGUGCUCGCGGCCGUGCUGCGGCUCGCGCCGUCCGAUCGCGGCGCGCUCGUCAGGCUGCGCGCCGGCCGCGGCUACCGGCAGGCGUUCGUGCGGCUCGACUGGGCCGCCGAGGCGGGCGCCUCGGGGCUGAAGCAGGGCGGCGUCUACGUGAUGCUCGGCGGCGCGGGGCGCGUCGGCCGGGCGCUGACGCGGCGGCUCAUCGAGCGCUAUCGCGCGAACGUCGCGUGGAUCGGCCGCAGCCCGGCCGAUUCGGCGAGCGUCGCGCAUGCGCUGCGCGCGCUCGGCCCGGCGGGCCCCGCGCCGUAUUACGCGCAGGCCGACGCGACCGAUGCGGCGCGCGAUCGAAGCCGUCCGGCAGCGCCACGGCCGCAUCGACGGCGCGGUGUUCUGCGGGAUGGUGUUCGACGCGAACCACGCGAUCGCGAGCGUGCCGGCGCACCGGUUCGACGAGAUUCUGGACGUCAAGGCGCGCGGCAGCCGCAUCUUCUACGAGGCGCUCGCGCACGAGCCGCUCGAUUUUCUCUGCUACUGCUCGUCGGCGCAGUCGUUCUCGUUCUCGGGCGCGGCGCGGCUCGGCGCGUACGCGGCGGCGACGACGGCGGGCGACGCGAUCGUGCGCUCGAUCGCGCCCGUCGCCGCGUUUCCGGUCGGCACGAUCCACUGGGGGUUCUGGGAAACGUCGGUCGAGGAUUCCGCGCUCGGCUCGCGGCAUCUCGGCGCGCUGUCCGACGACGAGGGGUUCGCGUGCUUCGAGCGGUUCGUCGGCCAGUGCAUGCGCGGCAAUCCGCUGCGCGAGGUCGUCUGCAUGCGGGCGUCGCCGGAGGUCGAGCAUCUGAUGCAGGUGCUGCCGGGCGAAACCGCGACGCUCGCCGCGCCGGGGCAGCCCGCGCAGCCGGCGCCGCUUCGCGACGCGCCGGACGGCGCGGCCGACGUAUCGGCGGAUAUCGACGC